rnacentral:tRNA from 1 species
CUUCGUUUCUCUUUCUUCAGAUGAUGAUCCCAAGCCUUCUGGCGAUCUCUUAAAAUAAAGCCUGAUCUGUUUUCAAUAAACAGGAUAUUUAGACAUAUGUUUAAAUUCUUAUGGAUCUUAAAAAUCAUAAAUUAAAAAAAGGCUUUAUGAAGAAAGCACUUUAAGCUUUUCCAAUGAUUUAAGAUGAUACCGGGGAAGGUUUUCCGGUUUAUCCCGGAGGGCUUGUAGCUCAGUUGGUUAGAGCGCGCGCUUGAUAAGCGUGAGGUCGGAGGUUCAAGUCCUCCCAGGCCCACCAAUUUAUGCUCGUUUUUUGCUUAUCCACUCGUUUUUUGCUUAUCCAAGAGUAUGGAGCUUAAGCGCAUUAAAGCCUUUUUUAAUCUUUAUUCAAAGUUUAAAGAUUUUAUUAUGCGAAGAUUGUUUGUUAAAUUUAUUCCAUUAAGUUUGUCAAAGAGGAAGUUUGUCAAAGAGGAUUUUUAAAUCCCUUCAUUUUGAAAUUCCUUCAAGGUAUAGACAAAUUUAAAUGAUCCAAAUCAAAAUAGUACAAGUCAAAAUAGUACAAAUUAAAGUAGUGCAGGCAAUUCAAGUUGAUGAAUUUUCUUGAGGUUGAUUUGAGAGAGCAUUAUUUAGGGGCCGUAGCUCAGCUGGGAGAGCACCUGCUUUGCAAGCAGGGGGUCGUCGGUUCGAUCCCGUCCGGCUCCACCACUUUAUGGUUCAUCAUCAUGUUGUAAGAACACGGUUUAGUAAAAGGUCUUUUUAUCCUUUUGCUUGUUCUAUUGAAAUUGUGAAGAGAAG